AGUGAACGCUGGCGGUAGGCCUAACACAUGCAAGUCGAACGGCAGCACAGGAGAGCUUGCUCUCUGGGUGGCGAGUGGCGGACGGGUGAGGAAUACAUCGGAAUCUACUCUGUCGUGUGGGAUAACGUAGGGAAACUUACGCUAAUACCGCAUACGACCUACGGGUGAAAGCAGGGGACCUUCGGGCCUUGCGCGAUUGAAUGAGCCGAUGUCGGAUUAGCUAGUUGGCGGGGUAAAGGCCCACCAAGGAGACGAUCCGUAGCUGGUCUGAGAGGAUGAUCAGCCACACUGGAACUGAGACACGGUCCAGACUCCUACGGGAGGCAGCAGUGGGGAAUAUUGGACAAUGGGCGCAAGCCUGAUCCAGCCAUACCGCGUGGGUGAAGAAGGCCUUCGGGUUGUAAAGCCCUUUUGUUGGGAAAGAAAUCCAGCUGGCUAAUACCCGGUUGGGAUGACGGUACCCAAAGAAUAAGCACCGGCUAACUUCGUGCCAGCAGCCGCCGUAA
rnacentral:rRNA from 1 species